rnacentral:lncRNA from 1 species
UGCUCUUCUCUCUUCUGUAUAAAACUUUACGAAAUAAAGGCAAAAGAUUGUGUACAUCUUGCUGGAAAAUGCUGCCCAGGCCUCUGGAGACGGUGGCUGCCCGGGCUCCCUUCACUGUCCAGGUCCUGAAAGACUCUUGUUCAUGAACUGUCUCUUCACAAAGCAAGUCCACCACUUGCUGGGUUUAUCAUUCUGAGGGUCGAAAACUUUCUCACAAAGUCUCAGUCCAGUCUCUUGCCUUAGCUGUUGUAAAUAGGCUCUCAUCACUUCAUCUUCCUGUUUGUUUGCAGGUUUGGCAUAAAUUGCGUUAAGUGGAAAACCAGGCUCUCCAGGAAUGGGAAAAUUAGUGAUUCCCAGCGUAUACAUUUCUUUCUCACCUUGGCUUUUGGAAUUGCACUUUUGCAGUUUCUUCAGACAUUCAGAAAUGUAGAGAGUUAUAUAUAUCAAGGUCCUAUCAGCUUCAUUCUUAAUUUCAUAGUUUUUGAAGAAGACAUUGGCCUUGAAGUAAUAGAUGGCUUCAUCCACAAUAUCUGUAUCUUUUGUCUCUCUGGGGGCAGGUCCUUUGAAUUGACUUCUGAUAGGCAACAGUGCCAUGUUUCCGAUGAGUUUGGUAUCAGGAUCCAUGAGAGAAGAGUGGUAAGCCGGCAUCUUGGCGGCGCCCGGGUUUCAACCCAGAGGAGCAGGAUCCACGAGAUCAGCAGGAAGAAGAGAUGGAAGCAACGCCAUGGACCUUCACGUCCUUCAGAGUGUGGGUGGGCUUUGGCUUUGCAGUGAGAGCAAGUAUCACCCAGGAUGGAGAUGGGAGGUAAUGGGUGGCCCCGACAGGUGCCUCCUACUGCUGGCAGCAAGGAGAGAGUGAAGAGGCAGAAUUUCCUUGGUCUAGACUAGUGUCUGGGUCAUGGGCAUGGCAGUGCUUGAGCUUUUGACCAGAAGCAAGUGGACAUGGAUUUGAGCUUCGGGUAAGAAGGGAGACUUCUCUCCAGGGACCAUAGGGGCUGGCAGCUGAAGAAGGUGACUUGGCCCCUCUCUAGAGGGUGAACGCAGGAUCAAUUCAAGGCCAUGAAGUGGAUGCAGCUGGGAGAGCCUGCUUGGUGCUUUUAAACCUCAACAUGUCCACCGCAAAUACCUCAAACACUGCUCACACCGUGGUAAAAUCUAGUUGCGAAAUCUGUCCUGCGGCAGCCUUCUCCAUCCCAGGCGCCCAGGCCCCAUCUCCUGGGAGCAGGCAGCUCUCCCGACCCCGCUUCAUGCCCCUCCUACAGCCCAAGGCAACUCCCUGCAACCUUGGUGAAUGAAGCACAUCCUGCUGCCCAGGCUCCUGAGCUGUUUGCCGUGUUGCGGAGAUGCAGCCUUCAGCCUUGGAUACCCACCCACUCCUCUACUUGGGCGUUGUUUUCACAGGCUGCUCUUCCCUGUAGCUUCAGAGAAGUAGGUCAAGUAGGUUAACUCGCUUUAAGGGAGAAGUGCCAGGGGUUCAAGUCACCCAGCCUGGAGGCAGGAAUCCUGGGUUCUAUUUUUGGCUUCACAGCUAAUCUGCUGUGUGACAGUCGUUAGGAGCUCAUUCUCCCCUCUGGGUCUCCCUGAGCCCUUCUCUAGGUCCCACAAUUUUUUUUUUUCCCCUGAAGCUAUAUUCCCUGGACUGUCAUAUUCUUCCCUCUUCCCUCCCUCUGGGAGGUGCUUUAAAGCCGUUGGCUGCUCAAGGCUGGCGCCCUGGGCAAGAGGGGCUGCAGUUGUUGUAGCUGAUGAGGAGGAGAUAAGAGGCUUUUCUGUAGACACAGUUGAGCUGAUGGGCUGUGUGAGGCUGGAGUGCCAGGAAACCAGACUCCUGUAACUACAGGACAGGCCCUGGUGAUGUGAUGAUGGGGAUGUGACGGGGAUGCUGAAGCCCGGAAUGCGAGUGGGGGUUCCUGCGUUUUAUGCAAUGGCUGUAGAUUUCCUCCCACUUCUAAGCCUCCCUUUCUGUGACACGCAGGGAAAUUCAGUCUCUAGUUCAUAUGGAAACUUGGGACUUCACUGUGCUGCUUGCUCUUGGCAGAGGAUAUCAUUUGAGCUGUCACAGCAGAGGACCACAUUUACCAGGGUGCACUUUGGCCAAAGAAUAGUAACCUUUCUAAGGCUUAGUUCCUCUGGCCUGACCAAACCAGUCCCAGGAGGCCCCUGGGUUCCAGUCAAGGUCAUGGGAGAGGCCCACCAUGGAUGAGGCCUGGGGGAGCAGGGUGGAAAUUAAGUGCCCAGGUAUGGUAUGGAUAGCCUGCAGCCCUCUCCAAUCCCUACCCUCCAAACCCAGUGAGGGGGGACAUGAAACAGGUGAGGCAGAGGAGCAAAUGCGGGUCAAGAAUUCCGAACUCUACUUGACUUACAGUGCAGCUGUGAUGUGCACAUUGGUGUGUGCCACGAGACAGCAUAGUGUGGUGGAAAGAAAAUGGGUUUUGAACAGAGUGUCCUGGGUUUGAAUCUCUGCUUGCCCAUGUACUAGAGAGUAGUCGAACCUCUCUGGGCCUCAAUUUCCCAGAUGUAAAAUGGGAAUAGUAGUACUUACCUUGCACGGGUGCUGAGAGAAUUCCAUGAGACGAGACAACCUGUGUAAAGUGCCUGGCAUAGGCGCAUCACAUUAGGGCACUCAGUAAAUGUGAUGUCUUUUCUACUUGCCUUCCUGUCAUACCUGUCCCCAUGUUUUGGAUUUCUGCAGCUAAAGUUAAGAAGCUUUUUAAGACAGGAAUCCCAAUUCUCACUUUGCCUCCUUUUCAUAGCUCACCUAAAUGGCUGACUUCUGUUCAGCACCUCUUCAUGGGUGCACUAUUCUGGAGAGCGAGAUCCUAGAGUUCCG